UACGAGGGGGGCAAGCGUUGUUCGGAAUCACUGGGCGUAAAGGGCGCGUAGGUGGUGGCUUAAGCGUGCGGUGAAAGCUCGGGGCUCAACUCCGAGUCGGCCGUGCGAACUGGGCUCACUGGAGCAUAGUAGAGGCAGGUGGAAUUCCGGGUGUAGCGGUGGAAUGCGUAGAGAUCCGGAAGAACACCGGUGGCGAAGGCGGCCUGCUGGGCUAUGGCUGACACUGAGGCGCGACAGCGUGGGGAGCAAACAGG
rnacentral:rRNA from 1 species